AACGAACGCUGGCGGCGCGCUUAACACAUGCAAGUCGAACGAGGAGGCGUAGCAAUACGCUUGUACAGUGGCGAACGGGUGAGUAAUACGUGGGCGACCUACCCUCGAGUGGGGAAUAACCCGCCGAAAGGCGGGCUAAUGCCGCGUACGCUUCCAUCUUUAUGGAGGUGGAAGGAAAGCCGUGCCGUGGGCACGGCGCUCAAGGAUGGGCUCACGUCCUAUCAGCUUGUUGGAGGGUAACGGCCUACCAAGGCUCCGACGGGUAGCUGGUCUGAGAGGACGAUCAGCCACACUGGCACUGCGACACGGGCCAGACUCCUACGGGAGCAGCAGUGAGGAAUAUUGGACAAUGGGCGCAAGCCUGAUCCAGCGAUGCCGCGUGUGUGAAGAAGGCCUGCGGGUUGUAAAGCACUUUCAGUAGGGAAGAAAGCCGAGUGCUAAUAUCACUCGGUCUUGACGUUACUUACAGAAGAAGCA
rnacentral:rRNA from 1 species